rnacentral:rRNA from 1 species
AUUGAACGCUGGCGGCAGGCCUAACACAUGCAAGUCGAACGGUAGCACAGAGAGCUUGCUCUCGGGUGACGAGUGGCGGACGGGUGAGUAAUGUCUGGGAAACUGCCCGAUGGAGGGGGAUAACUACUGGAAACGGUAGCUAAUACCGCAUAACGUCGCAAGACCAAAGUGGGGGACCUUCGGGCCUCACACCAUCGGAUGUGCCCAGAUGGGAUUAGCUAGUAGGUGGGGUAAUGGCUCACCUAGGCGACGAUCCCUAGCUGGUCUGAGAGGAUGACCAGCCACACUGGAACGGAGAGACGGUCCAGACUCCUACGGGAGGCAGCAGUGGGGAAUAUUGCACAAUGGGCGCAAGCCUGAUGCAGCCAUGCCGCGUGUAUGAAGAAGGCCUUCGGGUUGUAGAGUACUUUCAGCGGGGAGGAAGGCGGUGGAGUUAAUAACUUCACCGAUUGACGUUACCCGCAGAAGAAGCACCGGCUAACUCCGUGCCAGCCGCCGCGGUAA